AGUUGGCUGUCACGCUCCCAUAAGGCACGAGACAGCUGUUCCCCUCUGGAGGUUUUAACCUUCAAACUUAUCGGGCCGCGGAGACAUCCAGCGGCCUUCUUU
rnacentral:sRNA from 1 species